rnacentral:lncRNA from 1 species
ACUGAAUAUAAGAGCAAUGUGUGGGGCAAGCACCAGAACUCUGGCCAGAUGUGGGCACUCUCUCCCACUCCCCUCUUCCCCUACACCCACAGCCAGGCAAAUGGUAGCAAGAGGAUGGUGUAACCAUCCAUGCAAGACAGAACCAACUAAAGAAAAUGCUCCACACACAGAGACCUACAGAGACCUACAUCAAAACUCCAAAUUUCCCAAGACAGUCUAUCUCCACAUAGUGCCUGCUGCCAGAGAUCCACCUAAAACAGCGCCAUCUUCUGAGCCUACAGACAACAAAGCUGCCUUCCUCCAAAAACCUCAUCUGACUGAAGACUCCUGAGACAUGUGAAGAACUCCACAAAAGACAGACUUGGGACCUUCCAGCUACAGAUGAACUCUCUUGCCAAAGCCAAUGGCUGCUGAACUUAGGGAAAGUUCCAUGAUAGCAAAGAAAACAUAAUGUCUAUCUAGAUUAAUUAAUUGCUGUUUAAAAAUGAUAUUACCCUCAAAUUGUACUACCCAUGGAACAAGUAAUUGAGUGUACAAUCUCUUGCCUUCCCAACCCUUACCCUUAACCCUCCUUACUACUCUGGCUUUGUUGUGCUACUUCUCUAGGCUGUGUGUUUUCUUCUGAUAUUUCCACCCCACCCUAAAUUUUCAUCACAAAUGGCACAGGCACACCGGUGAGCCCUCCCUUUUUAUAAAAACAAAAGGGGUAUUUGUAGGGCAGGUGUUUAAUGAUUGCACAUAUAUACAUUCAUAGAAACCCUAUAAGGAAAAGAUGUUCACAUUUGUUUAAACCUGGAUAUUAUCAUUUUGAGAAACACUGACACAUAGCAGGGUGGUUAUACCUGAAUGAAUGAAUGAAUGGAUGAAUGAAUGAAUGAAUGAAUGAGUUCUGUAUAUAUUCUAUCCAUUCUACCAUCAAAGAAAACUUUCUGUCAUUUGGUCACAAAGUAGGUAACUGUUCAUGUUCCUCUUUCUGUGUUUGCUUACUGGGACUUCUAAUCCUUAUGCUAGGAAUUUCCCACAGUUUGAGCCUAGUUAAUGGGUGCAGGUUGGUUCCGUUUCUUCACUACUGGGUCAUAUGCCUUGCUGGUAUUAUUCUACUAAUUUUGUCCUUCAGGUUCACAUUCAAGCUGAUGUCUGUAGGAAAAUAAUUACAAUGAGGGCAGACAAAUUUUCUAGUCUCUUGAUUUGGGAUCAUGGAUAGUAGUGUUGAGGAAAUCUCAUAGUUUUUCUCAACCUGCACUUUCUUACUUCCAUUUCAACAAGCCCCUCCCCUACUUUUGCUAAGCAGAAACACAGCGGAAGGAAACAUGCUUCUUUCUACCACGCUGGCUCACUUAGAUCCUCCUAGCAGUGUAAAAGCCUCCACUUACUCUUGACCGUGACGUGAAGAUGAAGCUGAUUCUAAGAUGCUUUCCUGAUUUUACCUCUUAUGAUGGUUCCUAACCAAAAUCCUUUAAUAUUGAUAAUCACAUAGUUUUCACAAUAUAGGAAUGAUGUCAAAU